GGAUGUAAUGGCGAUCAGACUGUGAUAUCUGUCACCCCAUUUAUCUUCAAGUUUGAUUUGGCUGAUCUGGCUGGCUAGGUGGGUGUCCCCUUCCUGCCUCAGCGCUCCAUGUGUGUCCCCCCCCGAAACUGUGUCAUCAGUCGAAGAGGACUUCCUUCCUCGAGUAGACACGGACCAGUGCUCCGACGAUAUACGAGUAGUUGCGCUCCCCUGCUAGAAUCUCCAAACAAGCUCCCGUGGAUUAACUUGUAGGUAGAAAUAACUUGAACGGAAUAUUGAGAAACAUAGGCAUAAAUGAUUGUAAUUACUAU
rnacentral:snRNA from 1 species